rfam:Ascaris suum AG11313, whole genome shotgun sequence.
GCCUGAGUAGCGCAGUCGGUUAGCGCGUCAGUCUCAUAAUCUAAAGGUCGUGAGUUCGAGCCUCACCUGGGGCA